rnacentral:misc_RNA from 1 species
UCCUCCGCUUAUUGAUAUGCUUAAGUUUAGCGGGUAAUCCUACCUGAUUUGAGGUCAAAUUUCAUAAGAUAAUUAUGGGCACGAAACUAUAAUAAAUAGUCGUACCUAAUAAAAAAUGUCAAUUAAGCACAAAGUAUUGACCAUAAAAUGCGCUCAAAUCAACGAAAAAUCAAUUUUAAGUCACUUAAACUCUAAUAGAGGUUUUUAAGGAAACUCAAUUCCGAAAUGAUACUUCUCACGAGGUAACAAAUCGAUUUUUUUUUUAUUUAAUAACCCUCAAACAGGCAUACUCUUCGUGAAAAGAGUGCAAUUCGCGUUCAAAAAUUCGAUGAUUCAC